AGACUACGAAAUGCCGACCAAGUCACAAGGCCACAGUGAGCACGGUAGAAAGAUCAUUCCUGGACCCCCGAGGGCCUCUGAGUUUGAGACGCUGGCUGAGAUCAAAUGAUAAGAAUUCCAAUUUUUGUUUUCCUAAGUCUUUCAUCUGCUAAUCUACCCAACAUGAACCACGGGCCACAUGAAGGGCCAGACACAUUCUUAAGCGGCUCACAGCCUAGAGGUGCACAUCUGUGAUUACAAUGUGCAAGGUAAAACUGGAUCAACAGUUUCCAAGGACUGGCAUGUAAUAAAAUAUCCUCAAAACAACAAGCAAGUUGGGCGUGACUUAGACUUUCACUGCCCAUGUAGAAGGCACUGUACAUUCUUGCAGCAUCUCAGUUGGCCAGCAAGAGAGAUGGGGCCUCACUCUGGUCACCCAAGCUGGAGUGCAGUGGCACCACCUUGGCUCACUGCAGCCUCAACCUCUCGGACUCAAGUAAUCCUCUCACCUCAGCCUCCUGAGCAGCUGGGACUAUAGGCAUGCACCACCAUACCUAGCUAAUUUUUAAUUUUUGGUAGAGACGAGGUCUUUCUGUGUUGCCCAGGCCAGUCUCAAACUCCUGGGUUCAAGCUGUCCUCCUGCCUUGGCCUCCCAAAGUGCUGGGAUUACUGUUAUAAGCUACCACACCUGGCCAAAUUGUAUCGUAUUUUUUUCUCAGAUGAGGGCUCACUCUGUGGCCCAGGCUGGAGUGCAGUGGUGCAAACUCGGCUCACUGCAACCUCUGCCUCCCAGGUUCAAGUGAUUCUCCUGCCUCAGCCUCCCGAGUAGCUGGGAUUACAGGCACAUGCCACCACACCAGCUAAUUUUUGUAUUUUUAGUAGAGAUGGGGUUUCACCAUGUUGGCCAGGCUGGUCUCGAACUCCUGACCUCAGGUGAUCCACCCACCCUCAGCCUCCCAAAGUGCUGGGAUUACAGGUGUGAGCCACCACACCCAGCCCAAAUUUUAUUUUUUUAAUGGAUGAAAAUGGGGCAUGUUUAAUGGAAAUAAUCCAGAUUAGAUGGUGGGGGGUGGAGGGAGAAGCUGAAUAUAUAAAAAGGGAAAGGCCCAAUUGGUAGUGCAUGAGUCCUGAGAAGGUAGGAGGGCUUGGGAUCCAAGGGAUGGAGGUAGCAUUAUUUUUGAGUGGAAGAAGAACAGCUCUUUACUGGGACAGCAGGGAAGCAGGACAGAGUGGGUUGCAUGUAGAUUUGCAAUGUUCCGUAUUGGAAUUAUAGAAGAGUUCCCAAUUGAUAGCUUUUGCUUAUUCUUUCAAGUUGAGAUACACUGAAGAUGACUUAUUUUAGUUUAAAAUUUUACCAUUCACUGGGAGAUUUGUCUUUGAUCAGAGACAAAUUCACAAACCCAAAGCAUAAAGCUCCAGCUUUGGAAUUCUAGUCAUCAAAAUUUUCGGGGGACACCCAGGGCAUCUUGCCAUCUUCACCAAGCAAAGCAGCCAUCUGCUUGGCUCAUUUUAUGAUCGAUGUACCUGGUGCAUCUCUUAAGUACUGGUUAACAUAGAAAGCUGAGCAGCAGAGCACGACGACGUGGUCACCUGUAUGAAUCAUCCCAAGGAGCUGCUAACUCCAAGAAUCAAAGUCAAGAUGCCUCCUGAAUAUACUGUAUCUCCUUUGCUCCCACCUUGCCAGUAGAUUUAACUAGUUGUAUCUGAUUAAAACUAACAUUAAAUUA
rnacentral:lncRNA from 1 species